GGUAAUCACGUGAUGAUCUAAAGGAAAUCAAGAUGGCGGCGUUCGUUCCAAAACAGGAAAACGUGUGGCCUACCAAAGGGCUUCCGCAAGAAUAAUAACUGCAAGUGACCACGCGUUCGAUUAGCAUGGAAGGAAGCGAUUAGCCCGGAAGGAAGCGAUUGCCUGGGCGGAAAAGAAUUGACCAUGUCGCCACGGAAAGAAAUGCUGUUCAGAAAGGGGCUAUUGGGUGCGCUGGGAGAAGGCCCGAACUAACUACAGCAAAAUGCUGCCAACCAAAAUAAUGGGCAUAGAGUAAAAUGACUGUGACAGUAUUUAAAUAAUACUUAAGUGACGCUGGUGAAAAGCCUUAAAAAAUAAAAGUGUGCAUUAUUUUUGCAUCGACAUACAUGUACCAUGUUCAAUUGUUACUGCCGUGUUUGUAUAUUCUAGGUUUAUCACAUGAACAUAUAGUAGUAGCCCCACAUUGUAAAAUGUGUAUACCAACUUACAUUUCUAUAUCUUUAAUUAAGACUUUAUUAAUACGUAAGUGUACCAUUUUUUCCAUUUUUAUUAACAAUUAACUGACCAUUGACAUAUAGUGAAACGGGCCGUGCAUCCUAAUUUUGGCGUUUAUAUGUAUUACAUUUUUUGUAUGCAAAACACCAGUUUUCAUACGGUGUUUAUAAUCUGUGUUUACUGUAGGUCUGUCUGCUUAAAGUCUUAGAUAAUUAUGAAUCUGAUAGGUUUAUUUAGAUCUGUCAACACACAUCUUCAUUGUUUCCACCCACCAAAGAAUGAAACGUCCAAUAUAAUUUUCUCUUAUUCCAAAUGAUGCCCAUUUUAUAACUUAUACCUUCGUGGGUAUACUUCACUGAUAUUGACAAAACUGAUUCAUUAGUGAUAAUUUUUAUUUCAAAGAUAUUUCAACUCUAUCUUGGAGACAACAGGAAUUACAUCUUACUUUUAACUUCAAAUUUGUUGACCUCUUAAGUGUUAUAACAGUGUAAACUAGCAUUCGCAUUGUCUUUAUUAAUUGUCUUAA